rnacentral:rRNA from 1 species
GACGAACGCUGGCGGCGUGCCUAAUACAUGCAAGUAGAACGCUGAAGGAGGAGCUUGCUCUUCUGGAUGAGUUGCGAACGGGUGAGUAACGCGUAGGUAACCUGCCUGGUAGCGGGGGAUAACUAUUGGAAACGAUAGCUAAUACCGCAUAACAGUAGAUGUUGCAUGACAUUUACUUAAAAGGUGCAAUUGCAUCACUACCAGAUGGACCUGCGUUGUAUUAGCUAGUUGGUGGGGUAACGGCUCACCAAGGCGACGAUACAUAGCCGACCUGAGAGGGUGAUCGGCCACACUGAGACUGGGACACGGCCCAGACUCCUACGGGAGGCAGCAGUAGGGAAUCGUCGGCAAGGGACGGAAGUCUGACCGAGCAACGCCGAGUGAGUGAAGAAGGUUUUCGGAUCGUAAAGCUCGGUUGUAAGAGAAGAACGAGUGUGAGAGUGGAAAGUUCACACUGUGACGGUAUCUUACCAGAAAGGGACGGCUAACUACGUG